rnacentral:rRNA from 1 species
UGCUCAACAGCUAGCCCAACCUUAACCUUACAAAAUAUAAAUAUUAAUAAACCUAAACACACCAACCUUUUACUAAACAAACCAUUUUCCCACUUUAGUAUCGGCGAGAGAAAAAGAAUCACGGCGCAAUAGAGAAAGUACCGCAAGGGAAAGCUGAAAAAGAAAUGAAACAAACCAGUAACGCUUAAAAAAGCAGAGAUUCCACCUCGUACCUUUUGCAUCAUGACUUAGCUAGAAACACCAAGCGAAGAGAACUUUAGUUUGGCCCCCCGAAACUAGGUGAGCUACUCCAAGACAGCCUUCCAAUAGGGCACACCCGUCUCUGUGGCAAAAGAGUGGGAAGAGCUUUGAGUAGAGGUGACAGACCUAUCGAACCUGGUUAUAGCUGGUUGCCCGAGAAAUGGAUAGAAGUUCAGCCUCCCGGCUUCUUUAUUCACACUUGUCUUGCUGCAUCCGAUAAAAAGAAACCGAGAGAGUUAGUCAAACGAGGUACAGCUCGUUUGAAAUAGGACACAACCUUAACAGAAGGGUAAAG